CAAGAGCACAAGCCUUCUCAUAUGCGGAGCAGUGCUGAUCGGUGAGAAGAGUACACAUUGGAUGGAGCUUCUGACAGACUCUCAGGAGAAAUGGGUGGAUGUUCAGAAGAUCAAGGCAUUCCCAGCCAUGGUAGCAAGCCCUACGCUAAGAACCGGGGCACAGGCACUCAUGCAGAUUGGUGGGUUGGGUAAGAUCAAGACCAACACA